CAUUAACUACCUUGCUGUUCCCUGCUGAUUAUCCAUGUCUUCUUGUUGUCAACCCGUGAUCUUGAGAGAAGGCUGAUGAGAAUAAUCUACAUGCCAGAGACAGAAUGAGAAGGAAAAAACGGUGCGGCAAAAACUUUGAGAUGGGGGGGUGAUGAUGCAACUCGGAGGCAAGAUGCCUGAUACCCCAAGCAAGCAAUCCAGCAACUGGAAUGCAAACCCUCUGCAAGUUCAGGUACUGCAGUCCCGUCUCUGGGGAGAGUGGUCCGUUCAGAGGACAGACGAUUCCUAUCUGAAGUCCUUUUGUUGGAGCAGCUUCUCUCUCAGCUGCAGCAGAUCGGGAGGCGUCAUUUAGAGACGAGAAGAGAGUUCAAUCUCACAUCACGUCCUGCUGAAGGACAGCAGUGGUAAUGGAGUUUCAGUGAAGCUGUGAAAGAGUGGAGGAAGAAGAGGAGAAAACCUCUGACGAACACCAGCAGCACCGGU